AUCGUCUGCACCGAGCCUUUACCGAAGGAUUUGGUGCCGAGGAUGAUGGCGCGUUUAUGAUCUUGCAAGGCGCCGGCAACAAUUUCAGACGCGCUGGCCGAGCCGCGAUUAAUCAGCACGACGAUUGGUUUGCCAUUGGUUAGAUCGCCGGGCCUGGCAUUAAAGCGCUGAUGCUCUUCUUUAUUACGCGAACGGGUCGAGACAAUCUCACCCUUAUCAAGGAAAGCAUCGGAGACGGCGAUUGCCUGAUCAAGCAAACCACCUGGAUUGUUUC
rnacentral:ncRNA from 1 species